AUUGAACGCUGGCGGCAGGCCUAACACAUGCAAGUCGAGCGGAGCGGCGGACGGGUGAGUAAUGCCUAGGAAUCUGCCUGGUAGUGGGGGAUAACGUCCGGAAACGGGCGCUAAUACCGCAUACUAUCAGAUGAGCCUAGGUCGGAUUAGCUAGUUGGUGGGGUAAAGGCCUACCAAGGCGACGAUCCGUAACUGGUCUGAGAGGAUGAUCAGUCAAACUGGAACUUGGGAACGGGCCAAGAUCCUAAGGGAGGCAGCAGGGGGGGAUCUUCCGCAAUGGGCGGAAGUCCGACGGAGCAACGCCGCGUGAGUGAUGACAGGCUUCGGGGUGUAAAGCUCGUUAAGCGGGGCGACGGUACCGGAAGAGAAAGCCACGGCUAACUACGUGCCAGCCGCCGCGGUAAUUC
rnacentral:rRNA from 1 species